UUUGAUGGUAGUAAACUGAUAUUUACCCUUCUUUUUUUAACAAUUUAUGAUGCUAAUUGUAAAAUGUAGCAGAAGUUUUUUUAACCUAUAAUAUCAUUUGAUUUCAAUUCAUAAUUAAUUCUUUUGUUAACUUUAAGCUUGAUUAUGUUGAUAAAGCUUUACACUCUAUGCCCAAAUACAUAUACAAUAUUGUAUAUGUAUAGUUUUUAUAAUGUUGCUGAGCAUUUUGAGUGUGUUCUUUGUGUGUUGAGAGUGAAGAUUGCACUGUUCACAAAGGCAAACAGGGGGCAUCUUCUACUUUGUAUGGGAAGAAGAGGUUGAAGUCAUUGGUUUAUUAAUGGUGGUGACCGAAAUCAAACCUAAGUUCAUGUUAAAACGAUAUCAUAAUUUUCGUUAAGGUGAGAACUAAGAACCUAACCUUUUUUUUUAAUCCUUUGCGUUAUUCUAAGUUGGUUGGCUUGCGUCUAAUUCAGUUGUUUACUUGCAUAGGUUGAAGUCACUGGUUUAUUAAUGUUGGUGACCGAAAUUAACCCAAGUUCAUGUUAAAACGAUAUCAUAAUUUUCGUUAUGGUAAGAAUUGAGAAUCUAACCUUUUAUUUUUAAUCCUUUGCAUUUUUGAAAUUAAGAAAUUGAAUUACUUAUCUAUACCUUUUUUGUGAUCAUUCAUUGAGAAUUUGUUGAUUGCUCUAAUUUAUAUGAGGUAGGAUUUCUACAUUCGAAACUCCAUUUCUCAUCUUUAGAGAUUGCUUGAUUUCAUAUUGUCAAAUAGUUUAUGAAUAUCCAUACUAAGUGUGUCAAUAUGUUGUUACAAUAAUUUAAUUAGAUGGUAUUUGCUGCA